rnacentral:rRNA from 1 species
GACGAACGCUGGCGGCGUGCUCAACACAUGCAAGUCGAACGGAAAGGCCCCUUUGGGGGUCCUCGAGUGGCGAACGGGUGAGUAACACGUGAGUAACCUGCCCUUGACUUCGGGAUAACUUCAGGAAACUGGGGCUAAUACCGGAUAGGAAUCCUUGCUGCAUGGUGGGGGUUGGAAAGCUUCGGCGGUUUUGGAUGGACUCGCGGCUUAUCAGCUUGUUGGUGGGGUAGUGGCUUACCAAGGCUUUGACGGGUAGCCGGCCUGAGAGGGCGACCGGCCACAUUGGGACUGAGAUACGGCCCAGACUCCUACGGGAGGCAGCAGUGGGGAAUAUUGCACAAUGGGCGGAAGCCUGAUGCAGCAACGCCGCGUGCGGGAUGACGGCCUUCGGGUUGUAAACCGCUUUCAGCAGGGGCGAAGCUUGUGGUGACGGUACCUGCAGAAGAAGCACCGGCUAACUACGUG